rnacentral:rRNA from 1 species
UACGGAGGGGGCUAGCGUUGUUCGGAAAUACUGGGCGUAAAGCGCACGUAGGCGGCGAUUCAAGUCAGAGGUGAAAGCCCGGGGCUCAACCCCGGAACUGCCUUUGAAACUAGAUUGCUAGAAUCCUGGAGAGGUGAGUGGAAUUCCGAGUGUAGGGGUGAAAUUCGUAGAUAUUCGGAAGAACACCAGUGGCGAAGGCGACUCACUGGACAGGUAUUGACACUGAGGUGCGAGAGCGUGGGGAGCAAACAGG